rnacentral:rRNA from 1 species
GACAGAGGCCUCGAGCGUUAGGCGGAAUCACUGGGCUUAAAGCGUGUGUAGGCGGAUCGUUAAGUGUCUUGUGAAAUCCCACGGCUCAACCGUGGAACGGCUGGGCAUACUGGCGAUCUUGAGCGGCCUAGGGGCAGUCGGAACAAACGGUGGAGCGGUGAAAUGCGUAGAUAUCGUUUGGAACGCCAAUGGUGAAAACAGACUGCUGGGGGACUGCUGACGCUGAGACACGAAAGCCAGGGGAGCAAACGGG